UUUGGCUUCUUUUACAGCCCUAUUAGAACCAAGUUCUUUCCACAUCUGACAAAUGAUUAUUAUGAAAACAUCUUCUGGUAUCUUCACACAGCUGUUAUAGUAAUAUCAGUUGACAGUCAACCACAGAUCAACUUUAUGGGAGUCCAGGAGUCCAGCAGGGAAGUUCUAGCACACUGUUUGAGCAAAAAAAUCUAAGAAUAAAUGUAGUGAAUAAGGUGUAUCUUGUGCCAGUGACAUUGGUAACAGCUGGAAAGAAUUUAUUUCCUUGAUUGACUAAGUAGAAGAUGGUUCCCAGAACUGAUCUUUAAGUCUAAAUAAGCAUCCCCAGAGGUGUUGGAGUUUUCAACAAAGUGAGUAUCCUGAGGAGAAAAUAAAGGGAUAGAGACAUUUAAUUUGAAAAUUAAAGGGAAUAUGACAUUAUUUUGUGUCUUAGGCUGAUGAUAAGAAGUG